rnacentral:rRNA from 1 species
AUUGAACGCUGGCGGCAGGCCUAACACAUGCAAGUCGAGCGGAGAUGAGGUGCUUGCACCUUAUCUUAGCGGCGGACGGGUGAGUAAUGCUUAGGAAUCUGCCUAUUAGUGGGGGACAACAUUCCGAAAGGAAUGCUAAUACCGCAUACGCCCUACGGGGGAAAGCAGGGGAUCUUCGUACCUUGCGCUAAUAGAUGAGCCUAAGUCGGAUUAGCUAGUUGGUGGGGUAAAGGCCUACCAAGGCGACGAUCUGUAGCGGGUCUGAGGGGAUGAUCCGCCACACUGGGACUGAGACACGGCCCAGACUCCUACGGGAGGCAGCAGUGGGGAAUAUCGGACAAUGGGCGGAAGCCUGAUCCAGCCAUGCCGCGUGUGUGAAGAAGGCCUUUUGGUUGUAAAGCACUUUAAGCGAGGAGGAGGCUACCUGGAUUAAUACUCUAGGAUAGUGGACGUUACUCGCAGAAUAAGCACCGGCUAACUCUGUGCCAGCAGCCGCCGUAAUAC